GUUUAGUUGCCUGUUAGCACUGCAUUGUCGUCACAGUUCGUAUAUUCUUUAUUGUUUUGUCUUUGCUAAAGUUUCACUUCUUUAUUAAAUUAUGUGGAACUCAUAUCGCGCUGCGUCUUGGCUCAACCAUUAUUCCGAUCAUCGUGACACAAAACAAGGAAGCCAUGCCUAAACACAGGUAUAUCAACAGCCUUCUUCUCAAUGUAAUGUUGCUGCUGUCAAUUGUGAGCAGAAUAUGUACCACUGCAUUCAGUCUGAACCCCAGAAUUAGCAGGACAGAAUUACACAGGUGAAAUAAGGGAAGCUGCUCAACAACAUCACAUCUAAAAGACUCCCAUCCAGAGCGACACACAGAAGCAACCAGGGUCAACGGCCAGCUCAAGGGCACGUCGACAGACGUUCCACAAAGUCAAAAACGGGGACCCGAACCAAGGAUCCAUCAGCCACCGACCCAAGUUUCCAACCGCUGUCCAAGAUCCCCCUCCCCACAGUUACCCAAGAGCUGCCCCUCAACCAUCUGAGACACCCCCCCCUCCCCCCGAGAAAAUAUCAUUUUAAAA